AUACUUAUCUACUUUAAUUUUUUCAUAUUUCUUUAAAACAAACUCACUUGUUUAUUUGCUUUCAUAAAGUUUUUAUCCUUGAAAAUUUGACAAGAAUACACUUAUAAUAUCACAACUUUGUUUUUUAUUUUUAUUUUUAUUUUUUAUUUAGUAAGAGUGGAUUAUUUCUUUCUCUUGAUAAGACUUAAGCGUAUUAAGAGUUGCGGAUUACCUUCUUUUAAAUUAAUAUUAUCUUUAGUAUUUUUUCUUUAUUUCAAGUCUUUUUAUUUUUUUAUUUAUCUAAAGCAAUAUUAG
rnacentral:lncRNA from 1 species